CGUGGGUAACCUGCCCAAGAGAUCGGGAUAACACCUGGAAACAGAUGCUAAUACCGGAUAACAACAGAUGAUGCCUAUCAACUGUUUAAAAGAUGGUUCUGCUAUCACUCUUGGAUGGACCUGCGGUGCAUUAGCUAGUUGGUAGGGUAACGGCCUACCAAGGCGAUGAUGCAUAGCCGAGUUGAGAGACUGAUCGGCCACAUUGGGACUGAGACACGGCCCAAACUCCUACGGGAGGCAGCAGUU
rnacentral:rRNA from 1 species